UCAACACCGAGUACUAACUAAGUGUUGACCGACAGCGCAUAUGAGCGAACGAAGAGAGCUCAUUACGCAAAUAAAAGUGCCAACACCAAUUAAGUAGAACUGGGUGUUGAACAUUACUUAGUGGCGAACGGGUGAGUAACGCGUAGACAACCUGCCUUCUAGAUGGGGACAACACUGCGAAAGUGGUGCUAAUACCGAAUGUUGUAAUGAGCCUGCAUGGGCUUGAUACUAAAGGUGGCCUCUAUAUAUAAGCUAUCACUAGAAGAUGGGUCUGCGUCUGAUUAGCUAGUUGGUGAGGUAAUGGCUCACCAAGGCGAUGAUCAGUAGCCGGUCUGAGAGGAUGAACGGCCACACUGGGACUGAGACACGGCCCAGACUCCUACGGGAGGCAGCAGUGGGGAAUCUUCCGCAAUGGACGAAAGUCUGACGGAGCAACGCCGCGUGAGUGAAGAAGGUUUUCGGAUCGUAAAGCUCUGUCUUUGAGGACGAAUGUGUCUAAUGUAAAUAAUGUUAGAUAAUGACGGUACUCGAGGAGGAAGCCACGGCUAACUACGUGCCAGCAGCCGCGGUAAUACGUAGGUGGCAAGCGUUGUCCGGAAUUAUUGGGCGUAAAGCGCGCGCAGGCGGGAUAUUAAGUCUGUUUUAAAAGUUCGGGGCUCAACCCCGUGAUGGAAUGGAAACUAAUAUUCUUGAGUGCAGGAGAGGAAAGUGGAAUUCCCAGUGUAGCGGUGAAAUGCGUAGAUAUUGGGAGGAACACCAGUGGCGAAGGCGACUUUCUGGACUGUGUCUGACGCUGAGGCGCGAAAGCCAGGGGAGUGAACGGGAUUAGAUACCCCGGUAAUCCUGGCCGUAAACGAUGGGUACUAGGUGUAGGAGGUAUCGACCCCUUCUGUGCCGGAGUUAACGCAAUAAGUACCCCGCCUGGGGAGUACGG
rnacentral:rRNA from 1 species